rnacentral:tRNA from 1 species
AGGCUCGUGGUGUAAUGGUAACACACAAGACUUUGACUCUUGCGUUUCUGGUUCGAGCCCAGGCGAGCCUGCCA